GGUAUUUUAGCUCAGUGGUAGAGCAGGAGAUUGCAAUUCUCAAGGUCCAUCGUUCCGAAUCGGUGACGGGCCU